rnacentral:rRNA from 1 species
CCUACGGGCUGCAGCAGUAGGGAAUAUUGGACAAUGGGCGAAAGCCUGAUCCAGCAAUGCCGCGUGUGUGAAGAAGGUCUUCGGAUUGUAAAGCACUUUCGACGGGGACGAUGAUGACGUUACCCGCAGAAGAAGCCCCGGCUAACUUCGUGCCAGCAGCCGCGGUAAUACGAAGGGGGCUAGCGUUGCUCGGAAUGACUGGGCGUAAAGGGCGCGUAGGCGGUUUAUGCAGUCAGAUGUGAAAUCCCCGGGCGUAACCUGGGAACUGCAUUUGAGACGCAUAGACUAGAGGUCGAGAGAGGGUUGUGGAAUUCCCAGUGUGGAGGUGAAAUUCGUAGAUAUUGGGAAGAACACCGGUGGCGAAGGCGGCAACCUGGCUCGAUACUGACGCUGAGGCGCGAAAGCGUGGGGAGCAAACAGGAUUAGAUACCCUGGUAGUC